CAGGAUUCCCCUAGUAACGGCGAGUGAAGAGGGAAAAGCUCAAAUUUGAAAUCUGGCGGCCUACGGUCGUCCGAGUUGUAAUCUAGAGAAGUGUUUUCUGUGCUGGACCGUGUACAAGUCCUUUGGAACAAGGCGUCAUAGAGGGUGAGAAUCCCGUCUACGACACGGACUACCAGUGCUCUGUGAUACACUCUCAACGAGUCGAGUUGUUUGGGAAUGCAGCUCAAAAUGGGUGGUAAAUUCCAUCUAAAGCUAAAUACAGGCGAAAGACCGAUAGCGAACAAGUACCGUGAGGGAAAGAUGAAAAGCACUUUGGAAAGAGAGUUAAACAGUACGUGAAAUUGUUGAAAGGGAAACGCUUGAAGUCAGUCGCGUCUUCAGAAAUUCAGCCUGGCUUCUGCCUGGUGUACUUUUCUGUUGGACGGGCCAGCAUCAGUUUUGGCCACCAGAAAAAGGUGGGAGGAAGGUGGCACCUCCGGGUGUGUUAUAGCCUCUCAUCGUAUAUGGUGGCUGGGACUGAGGACCGCAGCACGCCUUUAUGGCCGGGGUUCGCCCACGUAACGUGCUUAGGAUGCUGGCGUAAUGGCUUUAAACGACCCGUCUUGAAACACGGACCAAGGAGUCUAACAUGCCUGCGAGUAUUUGGGUGGUAAACCCAUAUGCGGAAUGAAAGUGAACAGUUGGGACUUCUGUCAUGGAAGGCACCGACGCCCGGACCAGACCUAUUGUGACGGUUCCGAGGUAGAGCAUGUAUGUUGGGACCCGAAAGAUGGUGAACUAUGCCUGAGUAGGGUGAAGCCAGAGGAAACUCUGGUGGAGGCUCGUAGCGAUUCUGACGUGCAAAUCGAUCGUCGAACUUGGGUAUAGGGGCGAAAGACUAAUCGAA
rnacentral:rRNA from 1 species